GACCCAGUGGUGUAAUGGUAACACAGCAGCUUUCAUUUGCAUAGGAAUUUGAAGCGUAUGCUGCAGUUCCCUGUUCGACUCGGGGUUGGAUCA